UCGAGUCGGAUUCGGACUAGGCCAAACUUGUGUCGGAUUUUGGGCCGCCUAGUAAACAAGACCCAAGUAAACAUCUACAGGGAAGGGGAAGAAGCAGCAUCAGUCUUAUUGGCUGGCUUAAGCCAGCCGACCAGGAACUAGGUUUAUAUAGAAGAUAUAACUAUUCCAUACGUUACGUUAUAUAGAUUGUUUGGUUUUAUUUUACCCUCCACUGCUGUGCAUACGAUUUAUUUUUUAGUUGAAUUAAUAUAUAUUCACCAUAUAUAUGCAUACACCUCUCCAGUUUCGUCCGGCCGCUGACACGUGUGACUGUGUAAGGUUACAUCCACAACAGUACUAUAUAGUAUUUUCGACGGCCUCGGUUAUCACGACCAGUCCCACACACCAGUGACCAUCUAUAGCUACCUCUACGGACAAAUGAGAAUCUUAAUCUAUAUAAAUACCAGUCAUAGAUCCCGUCGGGUUUGCAUACACAUUAGAAUCUUAAUAUAUGGAAUACCAAAGUCAAUUUGAUGAUCAGCAUCCUGUGAAAGGAUUUUCGUAUUAUAAAGGGAAGAAUAUAGUUUUAAAAAGGGAAGAAUUUAUAGGAUCAUAAAACUUUAUCCUUCCUAGUACUUUAAAUGUCUUUCUUUUUGGUAUUUGAUUCUAAAGUUUAAUUUAUAGAAUCAAAAGCAAGUUCAACCUUGAGCAAUUUAUGUUCCAUGAUAGCUUAACAAAUCACGCACCAAACAAAAUGACUCAAACGCAAAAAAAAGAGAGUAAAUAUUCUUGUUUAAAAAAAGGAUCUUGUUGGAAAUACUGAAAACAAUGUAAGGUUAAUUGGCCCGAACAAGCCGGCAUAUUGCAGCCUAGCACCCACGCCACGCACCGCGGCAAUCUGACCUGUCUUCAAUGGCAAUCAUGGCGGGAAGCGGCGGAGCAACCUUGGAAACAUCGUCCACUGUUCCACAACGUUGCAGAUUAUCCGCCGAACUCCUACGGGUAUUGACUCGGCGGUGGGUAGUAAGACGGCGUCCUGGCCGCGCCGUCGACCUCGAAGUACCGUGUCCCCGGCGGAGGGUAAUACGAGCCGACGGGAGGCGCCGGAUAGUACGGUAGCGCACGG
rnacentral:lncRNA from 7 species